rnacentral:tRNA from 1 species
UUUUAAAUAGCUUAAAAUUAGAGUAUGACUUUGAAGGUGUUAUGGUGUUUAUAUAUUUAAACUUUAAAAG